UUUUAUGUCUCUGGAUUUUAUCUCAGCUUAUAUAGUUGUGUUUAUUUGUGGUUCUGUGACACCAAACAAUAUGUUUUAACAUUCUAUGUGACAUUCUCUUUGACUAAUAGACAUUUAUUUUGUCUUAUUGGUCUCUUUGGUCUAUUUUGACUAAAAAGGGGGAGAAGUAGCUAAAGGAGAGUUGCAGUUAAUAUGUGCUAUGAAGUAGCUAUGCUAUAAAUAGAUGACAGAUGAUGUUGAACAAGAUGUUUUGUGUAGUACAGGUGAUGUUGAAGAUGAU
rnacentral:lncRNA from 1 species